rnacentral:rRNA from 1 species
GUACACAAAAAUGCACAUACUGUGAGCUCGAUGAGUAGGGCGGGACACGUGGUAUCCUGUCUGAAUAUGGGGGGACCAUCCUCCAAGGCUAAAUACUCCUGACUGACCGAUAGUGAACCAGUACCGUGAGGGAAAGGCGAAAAGAACCCCGGCGAGGGGAGUGAAAAAGAACCUGAAACCGUGUACGUACAAGCAGUGGGAGCCUCUUUUAUGGGGUGACUGCGUACCUUUUGUAUAAUGGGUCAGCGACUUAUAUUCUGUAGCAAGGUUAACCGAAUAGGGGAGCCGAAGGGAAACCGAGUCUUAACUGGGCGUUAAGUUGCAGGGUAUAGACCCGAAACCCGGUGAUCUAGCCAUGGGCAGGUUGAAGGUUGGGUAACACUAACUGGAGGACCGAACCGACUAAUGUUGAAAAAUUAGCGGAUGACUUGUGGCUGGGGGUGAAAGGCCAAUCAAACCGGGAGAUAGCUGGUUCUCCCCGAAAGCUAUUUAGGUAGCGCCUCGUGAAUUCAUCUCCGGGGGUAGAGCACUGUUUCGGCAAGGGGGUCAUCCCGACUUACCAACCCGAUGCAAACUGCGAAUACCGGAGAAUGUUAUCACGGGAGACACACGGCGGGUGCUAACGUCCGUCGUGAAGAGGGAAACAACCCAGACCGCCAGCUAAGGUCCCAAAGUCAUGGUUAAGUGGGAAACGAUGUGGGAAGGCCCAGACAGCCAGGAUGUUGGCUUAGAAGCAGCCAUCAUUUAAAGAAAGCGUAAUAGCUCACUGGUCGAGUCGGCCUGCGCGGAAGAUGUAACGGGGCUAAACCAUGCACCGAAGCUGCGGCAGCGACGCUUAUGCGUUGUUGGGUAGGGGAGCGUUCUGUAAGCCUGCGAAGGUGUGCUGUGAGGCAUGCUGGAGGUAUCAGAAGUGCGAAUGCUGACAUAAGUAACGAUAAAGCGGGUGAAAAGCCCGCUCGCCGGAAGACCAAGGGUUCCUGUCCAACGUUAAUCGGGGCAGGGUGAGUCGACCCCUAAGGCGAGGCCGAAAGGCGUAGUCGAUGGGAAACAGGUUAAUAUUCCUGUACUUGGUGUUACUGCGAAGGGGGGACGGAGAAGGCUAUGUUGGCCGGGCGACGGUUGUCCCGGUUUAAGCGUGUAGGCUGGUUUUCCAGGCAAAUCCGGAAAAUCAAGGCUGAGGCGUGAUGACGAGGCACUACGGUGCUGAAGCAACAAAUGCCCUGCUUCCAGGAAAAGCCUCUAAGCAUCAGGUAACAUCAAAUCGUACCCCAAACCGACACAGGUGGUCAGGUAGAGAAUACCAAGGCGCUUGAGAGAACUCGGGUGAAGGAACUAGGCAAAAUGGUGCCGUAACUUCGGGAGAAGGCACGCUGAUAUGUAGGUGAAGCGACUUGCUCGUGGAGCUGAAAUCAGUCGAAGAUACCAGCUGGCUGCAACUGUUUAUUAAAAACACAGCACUGUGCAAACACGAAAGUGGACGUAUACGGUGUGACGCCUGCCCGGUGCCGGAAGGUUAAUUGAUGGGGUUAGCGGUAACGCGAAGCUCUUGAUCGAAGCCCCGGUAAACGGCGGCCGUAACUAUAACGGUCCUAAGGUAGCGAAAUUCCUUGUCGGGUAAGUUCCGACCUGCACGAAUGGCGUAAUGAUGGCCAGGCUGUCUCCACCCGAGACUCAGUGAAAUUGAACUCGCUGUGAAGAUGCAGUGUACCCGCGGCAAGACGGAAAGACCCCGUGAACCUUUACUAUAGCUUGACACUGAACAUUGAGCCUUGAUGUGUAGGAUAGGUGGGAGGCUUUGAAGUGUGGACGCCAGUCUGCAUGGAGCCGGCCUUGAAAUACCACCCUUUAAUGUUUGAUGUUCUAACGUUGGCCCCUGAUCGGGGUUGCGGACAGUGUCUGGUGGGUAGUUUGACUGGGGCGGUCUCCUCCUAAAGAGUAACGGAGGAGCACGAAGGUUGGCUAAUCCUGGUCGGACAUCAGGAGGUUAGUGCAAUGGCAUAAGCCAGCUUGACUGCGAGCGUGACGGCGCGAGCAGGUGCGAAAGCAGGUCAUAGUGAUCCGGUGGUUCUGAAUGGAAGGGCCAUCGCUCAACGGAUAAAAGGUACUCCGGGGAUAACAGGCUGAUACCGCCCAAGAGUUCAUAUCGACGGCGGUGUUUGGCACCUCGAUGUCGGCUCAUCACAUCCUGGGGCUGAAGUAGGUCCCAAGGGUAUGGCUGUUCGCCAUUUAAAGUGGUACGCGAGCUGGGUUUAGAACGUCGUGAGACAGUUCGGUCCCUAUCUGCCGUGGGCGCUGGAGAACUGAGGGGGGCUGCUCCUAGUACGAGAGGACCGGAGUGGACGCAUCACUGGUGUUCGGGUUGUCAUGCCAAUGGCACUGCCCGGUAGCUAAAUGCGGAAGAGAUAAGUGCUGAAAGCAUCUAAGCACGAAACUUGCCCCGAGAUGAGUUCUCCCUGAGACUUUAAGUCUCCUGAAGGAACGUUGAAGACGACGACGUUGAUAGGCCGGGUGUGUAAGCGCAGCGAUGCGUUGAGCUAACCGGUACUAAUGAACCGUGAGG